GACGAACGCUGGCGGCGUGCCUAAUACAUGCAAGUAGAACGCUGAAGAGAGGAGCUUACUCUUCUUGGAUGAGUUGCGAACGGGUGAGUAACGCGUAGGUAACCUGCCUUGUAGCGGGGGAUAACUAUUGGAAACGAUAUCUAAUACCGCAUAACAAGGGCUGACACUUGUCAUUUAUUUGAAAGGGGCAAUGGCUCCACUACAAGAUGGACCUGCGUUGUAUUAGCUAGUAGGUGAGGUAAUGGCUCAACUAGGGGACGGUACAUAGCCUGCCCGAGAGGGUGGUCCGCCCACACGGGACUGGGAAACGGCUCCGGACCCUUACGGAGGCAGCCGUAGGGGAACUUCGGACAUGGGGGGCAACCUGACCGAGCACAGCCGCGUGAGUGAAGGAGGUCUUCGGAUCGUAAAGCUCUGUUGUAAGUGAAGAACGGGUGUGAGGGUGGAACGUUCACACUGUGACGGUAGCUUAACAGAAAGGGACGGCUAACUACGUG
rnacentral:rRNA from 1 species